GCGUUGGUAGUGCAACUGGUGAGAGCACGCGCUCCCCUGAUAGAGUAAGCUGCGGAUUUGAGUCCCGCCUAACGCG